rnacentral:rRNA from 1 species
UCCAGACUCCUACGGGAGGCAGCAGUGGGGGAUAUUGCACAAUGGGGGGAACCCUGAUGCAGCGACGCCGCGUGGGUGAAGGAGUGCUUCGGCAUGUAAAGCCCUAUCGGCAGGGAAGAAGCAAGACGGUACCUGACUAAGAAGCCCCGGCUAACUACGUGCCAGCAGCCGCGGUAAUACGUAGGGGGCGAGCGUUAUCCGGAUUCACUGGGUGUAAAGGGAGCGUAGACGGCCAUGCAAGCCAGGGGUGAAAGCCCGGGGCCCAACCCCGGGACUGCCCUUGGAACUGCAUGGCUGGAGUGCGGGAGGGGCAGACGGAAUUCCUAGUGUAGCGGUGAAAUGCGUAGAUAUUAGGAGGAACACCAGUGGCGAAGGCGGUCUGCUGGACAGCAACUGACGCUGAGGCGCGAAAGCGUGGGGAGCAAACAGGAUUAGAUACCCCUGUA